ensembl:lncRNA
GGAAUGGAGCAUGUGUUUUCAAAGGAAGACAAAUUAGAUCACUAGGAGAUGUCUCAGGAGUAGAAUUCUUUUGGCCAAAAGUUCAUAUUUAUUUAUUUUAAAAAUAUACGUUCAGUAUUUAAAAUGCUCAAAUUGAAUAAAGAAGCAAUGCCUGUGCUUUGGGAAGCAACUAUGAAUCAACUAAAUAAUUUUUAAACUAAAAAAAAGGAAAGUGAUCCUCAAGCAGUAAAGCCUACUCACAAUUUUGUAAGCUUAAGUCAGCUACUUCAAUUUUAGCAGGAAAAUUCAGGAAAAGUUAUUUACAGCAGUUCUGUAGUAAGUAUCAGGCAGGAACAAGGAAAUGCCUAUGUGGAGAACAUUUUAGACUUGGGAUUGAGUGAAUAAGCAUUAAUUUUCCACUUUGAUUUCUUGCUGGAACACUGUAUAGGAUUUGUAUGAGUUGUGUUUUACGUUGGGGGUUUGGGUUUUUUUCUUUGUUCUUCUGUUUUUCCCCUGAGCCUCUUAAUGUCAUUAUAGCUAAAGGAAAAGUAAGACAUAAGGCAAUUUCCCUGUUUGUCUUUCUGUCAGUAAGGGCCUGGAGUGGGGAAAAAAAAAAAAAAAAGAAAAAAAAACUGUGAUAAGUGAGAAGAUGGAGGAUAUAAUGGUAGAAAAAAUUAUGAAAGCCACAGGAAAUAUAAGAACAUACACUGUGGGGUAGAUGAGGGAAAGGUACACCUCAGUCUAACACAAUAAAACAAGCAAUCACAAAUUAAAAAAUAAUCAACAGUAUGACCACAGGCACAUUAAUCUCCCUUGUCCCACCUCAGCUAACAUGAUUAUUCAACCUCAUUACUAUGCAGAAAGGCUUGGAGGAAGUUGUGUGAUAUAAUGGGUUUGAUGUUUUUUUUUAAAUCUUAGUCAAUACAUUCAGCAAAAAUGUUCAGACAUAACAGAACAAUUUCAGAAGAAAAUACAUCUGUGACUUUUUCUCUGAUGAAAAGAAUAUAGUUAAUCCUUACGCAGAAGAAAUGAGCAAAGAUUCAUGUUUACUUCUCAAUUCUUAAGCUAUUUAAUCUUCAAACAAAUAUUGUUAGUUCUGUAGUAGUUCUUCCACACUGUAAAGUACAAGUGAAAGUUAGUUAUGUCCUCUAUAAAGUAUAAAGGAAUGGCAUCCUAACAGUAUCUUUUCUUUUGAAGAAAGGAGGAAAGAAGGAAUUGGGAAAAAAAUAAAGCAGAAGAAAAAAAGGAAAGAGAAAGGAAAAAAAGAAGGACAAAGCAAGCAAGAAAUUUCAAGUAAAAAAAAAUCUGUGAGCCUGUCAGUCAAUGAUAUGGCUAAGAAAUGUUCAAGUUUCAGACUCCAGUCUACUGAUACACAAACUCAUUUAUUAUUAAAGCACAGCAUUCUUGAUGUAUUAGAGUGUAUUCCCUGUUAAUGAAAUUCUUCAGAUGCUUGCAGGAAAUAGGACUAAAAAUACACAUUACUGCAAAUGCAUUUCCCACCGGAGCACUCAGCAUAAAGAAAAUAUCAUGCAACAAUUCUGCCUGCCCAUUUUCCCAGACUGCAAGGAGAACUGCAAGAGUGCUUGCAUUUGUUCACCUUGUUUCUCUUGGCACGGUGAGACGCUCAUUCCAACUCUUUCCAGCCCCAUGCAAGGUGAAAUCAGUGAGGAUUCUGCUAUUGAUUCCAAUGCAGCCGGAAUCCUGGUCACCGUUUCUGUUCCAUCUCUCAAAGGGCUAAGGGAGGUUAUUAAAAAAUAAAGUCAAACUGCACCAUGGGGAUCAAACUCAUUACAGUCACUUUUCAGGAGG